rnacentral:tRNA from 1 species
GCCUUGGUGGUGGAACUGGUAGACACGCAGGACUUAAAAUCCUGUUCGCCGACAACGCGAGUGCGGGUUCGAUUCCCGCCUGAGGCACAA